UACGUAGGUGGCAAGCGUUGUCCGGAAUUAUUGGGCGUAAAGAGCUCGUAGGCGGCUUGUCGCGUCGUCCGUGAAAACCUGCAGCUCAACUGCAGGCUUGCGGGCGAUACGGGCAGGCUCGAGUUCGGUAGGGGAGACUGGAAUUCCUGGUGUAGCGGUGAAAUGCGCAGAUAUCAGGAGGAACACCGGUGGCGAAGGCGGGUCUCUGGGCCGAUACUGACGCUGAGGAGCGAAAGCGUGGGGAGCGAACAGG
rnacentral:rRNA from 1 species